rnacentral:rRNA from 1 species
AGUGAACGCUGGCGGUAGGCCUAACACAUGCAAGUCGAACGGCAGCACAGUAAGAGCUUGCUCUUACGGGUGGCGAGUGGCGGACGGGUGAGGAAUACAUCGGAAUCUACUUUUUCGUGGGGGAUAACGUAGGGAAACUUACGCUAAUACCGCAUACGACCUACGGGUGAAAGCAGGGGAUCUUCGGACCUUGCGCGAUUGAAUGAGCCGAUGUCGGAUUAGCUAGUUGGCGGGGUAAAGGCCCACCAAGGCGACGAUCCGUAGCUGGUCUGAGAGGAUGAUCAGCCACACUGGAACUGAGACACGGUACAGACUCCUAAGGGAGGCAGCAGUGGGGAAUAUUGGACAAUGGGCGCAAGACUGAUCCAGACAUACCGCGGGGGUGAAGAAGGCCUUAGGGUUGUAAAGCCCUUUUGUUGGGAAAGAAAAGCAGAAGGUUAAUACCCCGCUGUUCUGACGGUACCCAAAGAAUAAGCACCGGCUAACUUCGUG